rnacentral:lncRNA from 1 species
GACUGCACUGCAGCUCUGAGCUGCCCCAGGAGCCCUGUGCACAGAGCCUGAGACCAUGUCAAGCCCAUCUGUCAAUCUGGAACAGCCCACCUCUCAAUCUACGGAAAGAGACCGGAACAGGGCAGGUGCCCACUCAGUGCUGAAAUGAUCAAGGAGUAAAUGAAGAAAGAGGCCCCUGAAAGGAAAAGAGCCCCGACCAGGCCCCCUGUUCCUGUGCAGCCCCAGGACUCUGUACCUCUGAAAGCUCUCACUUGCAAAGGUAAAAAUCCAUUUCCAAAGACAAGGAGCAUCGUGGGCCCAUUCUUGCUUGCUUUCUCUGAGACAGCGCAGAUCUGAGGGGGUGUCCAGGACAGUGAAGCCAUCAAAGAGCACGUGACAGGAAGGGGGAUGCUCGGCCUGGAGUGGGCAGAGGAAGACAACACGGGCCACGCGGGCGUCUCCACCUCUGCAGAAGCAGGAAGAAAGGAGCGGUCAGGCACAGCUGGGUUCCUCUUCCCGGCAAUGUGAUCUGGAGGAAAUGGUUUAACCUCCCAGACCUCCCCACAUCUGUAAAGCAGAGAGGACAGCAGCACUUGCCCGAUGCGGCCAUCUCGAAGACUUGCCACCCGCAGGAGGCACCGGAAACGGAACUGCCAGGACCCUUUUCUCAAGAUGGCGCCCAAGGUGGACCCUGAGCCAGGCCGCAUCCAGCAGGGAGCCCUGCGUGGACAGCAGGUGAAGCCCCGUGGAGAUGCCCAGGGAUCCAAAGGCGACGUCACUGAUGGCGAGGCUGCCCCCCUUGGUCUCUGGGUCUGCCACCGCUCUGACUUGGAGACAGACUAAUGGAUAUAAUACUGUUUACACUCGAGGCACUCAGAGUUUACACAGCUGUGGAAGCAGAACAUGGCAACUUUUAGAAAAUUAAGAAAAAGACACACCCCAAAUCAUCGCCAACCAGCGGGGACACAGCCCUCUGUAACCCCAAGCAGCAAUAUUCAC